GGUACUAUAACAGGUAUUAUAACAGGUAUUAUAACAGGUAUUAUAACAGGUACUAUAACAGGUAUUAUAACAGGUAUUAUAACAGGUAUUAUAACAGGUACUAUAACAGGUACUAUAACAGGUAUUAUAACAGGUAUUAUAACAGGUACUA